rnacentral:rRNA from 1 species
CGCAAUGGGCGAAAGCCUGACGGAGCGACGCCGCGUGAUUGAUGAAGUCCUUAGGGACGUAAAGAUCUUUUAUGAGGGAGAAAUUUUUUGGAAUGAUAGUACCUCAUGAAUAAGGGGCUCCAAACUCUGUGCCAGCAGGAGCGGUAAUACAGAGGCCCCAAGCGUUAUCCGGAAUCACUGGGCGUAAAGGGUGUGUAGGUGGCUUUGUUAGUCGUUUGUUAAAUCUCCCGGCCUAACCGGGAACAUGCAAGCGAAACGGCAAGACUAGAGGAUGCGAGGGGUCUGUGGAACUCAUGGAGUAGGGGUGAAAUCCGUUGAUAUCAUGGGGAACACCGAAAGCGAAGGCAGCAGACUGGCGCAUUCCUGACACUGAACACGAAAGCGUAGGUAG